GCAGACACAUUCCAGCCAAUCAGCAGCAGACCCUCCCUCCCAGACCCUCUCACCUCCUGGACAGCUCACUAAAAAUGUAGCUUCAAAAUGGAUGCUGUCCAGGAGGUGGGAGGGUCUGGGAGAGAGGGUCUGCUGCUGAUUGGCUGGAAUGUGUCUG
rnacentral:miRNA from 1 species